CAAGCCAGUUCAGAAAUGCGCGCGUCCUGUCCUUUUGUUUUUCCGUGAUGAGCGAGAGCGUCAUCGCGAGUCCCAGAACAACAAGCGAGACUGCGAGUGGANACCGUGCCGGCCGGGCAGUUGAUAGGCCCAGGCGGGCAACAGCGCCGAGACAAGCUUGGUCAGCGGCGCACUGAAGAGGUAGAUGCUGAACGUUGCUCCGGCAAAAAUUCUCGCGACGGAUGUUCCUGGCAAAUGCGAAGUCGCGCCUAGCAUUCCGAUCAUGCCCAACAUGUUCGCAGCGAAGAGUCCGGCUGUCAGCCAAUCAAGAGGAAAGG
rnacentral:misc_RNA from 1 species